UACGUAGGGGGCAAGCGUUGUCCGGAAUCAUUGGGCGUAAAGCGCGUGUAGGCGGCUUGAUAAGUCUGCUGUGAAAGUCCAGGGCUCAACCCUGGAAAGCCGGUGGAAACUGUCAAGCUAGAGUCCGGAAGAGGCGAGUGGAAUUCCUGGUGUAGCGGUGAAAUGCGCAGAUAUCAGGAGGAACACCAAUGGCGAAGGCAGCUCGCUGGGACGGUACUGACGCUGAGGAGCGAAAGCGUGGGGAG
rnacentral:rRNA from 1 species